rnacentral:rRNA from 1 species
CCUACGGGAGGCAGCAGUGGGGAAUAUUGGACAAUGGGCGAAAGCCUGAUCCAGCCAUGCCGCGUGUGUGAAGAAGGCCUUCGGGUUGUAAAGCACUUUCAGUGGGGAAGAAAGCCUUGGGGCUAAUACCCUCGAGGAAGGACAUCACCCACAGAAGAAGCACCGGCUAACUCCGUGCCAGCAGCCGCGGUAAUACGGAGGGUGCGAGCGUUAAUCGGAAUUACUGGGCGUAAAGCGCGCGUAGGCGGUCUGAUAAGCCGGUUGUGAAAGCCCCGGGCUCAACCUGGGAACGGCAUCCGGAACUGGCAGGCUAGAGUGCUGGAGAGGAAGGUAGAAUUCCCGGUGUAGCGGUGAAAUGCGUAGAGAUCGGGAGGAAUACCAGUGGCGAAGGCGGCCUUCUGGACUGACACUGACGCUGAGGUGCGAAAGCGUGGGUAGCAAACAGGAUUAGAUACCCGGGUAGUC